rnacentral:rRNA from 1 species
GGACUACCGGGGUAUCUAAUCCUGUUUGCUCCCCACGCUUUCGAGCCUCAGCGUCAGGAACGUUCCAGAGCGCCGCCUUCGCCACCGGCCUUCCUCCCGAUCUCUACGCAUUUCACCGCUACACCGGGAAUUCCGCGCUCCUCUCCCGCCCUCUAGUCAAGCAGUCCCCUCCGACCUUUCCCGGUUGAGCCGGGAGAUUUCCCGGAGGGCUUACCAAACCGCCUACGCUCCCUUUACGCCCAGUAAAUCCGAACAACGCUUGCCACCUUCGUAUUACCGCGGCUGCUGGCAC